GGGCGUAAAGAGCUCGUAGGCGGUUGGUCGCGUCUGCUGUGAAAACCCGAGGCUCAACCUCGGGCCUGCAGUGGGUACGGGCCAACUAGAGUGCGGUAGGGGAGAUCGGAAUUCCUGGUGUAGCGGUGGAAUGCGCAGAUAUCAGGAGGAACACCAAUGGCGAAGGCAGAUCUCUGGGCCGUAACUGACGCUGAGGAGCGAAAGCGUGGGGAGCGAACAGGAUUAGAUACCCUGGUAGUCCACGCCGUAAACGGUGGGAACUAAUUGUAGGGGCCAUUCCACGGCUUCUGUGACGAAGCUAACGCAUUAAGUUCCCCGCCUGGGGAGUACGGCCGCAAGGCUAAAACUCAAAGGAAUUGACGGGGGCCCGCACAAGCGGCGGAGCAUGCGGAUUAAUUCGAUGCAACGCGAAGAACCUUACCAAGGCUUGACAUAUAGAGGAAACGUGCAGAAAUGUACGCCCAGCAAGGUCUCUAUACAGGUGGUGCAUGGUUGUCGUCAGCUCGUGUCGUGAGAUGUUGGGUUAAGUCCCGCAACGAGCGCAACCCUCGUCCUAUGUUGCCAGCACGUAAUGGUGGGAACUCAUGGGAGACUGCCGGGGUCAACUCGGAGGAAGGUAAU
rnacentral:rRNA from 1 species